rnacentral:rRNA from 1 species
ACAGCAGUAGCGCGGUAAUACAGAGGGUGCAAGCGUUAAUCGGAAUUACUGGGCGUAAAGCGCGCGUAGGUGGUUUGUUAAGUUGGAUGUGAAAUCCCCGGGCUCAACCUGGGAAUGGCAGUGGAUACUGGCUCGCUAGAGUGUGUCAGAGGAUGGUGGAAUUCCCGGUGUAGCGGUGAAAUGCGUAGAGAUCGGGAGGAACAUCAGUGGCGAAGGCGGCCAUCUGGGACAACACUGACGCUGAGGCACGAAAGCGUGGGGAGCAAACAGGAUUAGAUACCCGAGUAGUCCCUGUCUCUUAUACA